AUCCAACUGAUGAGUGCCAAAUAGGACGAAACGCGCGUCCUGGAU
rnacentral:hammerhead_ribozyme from 1 species